GUGUCAGCAGCCGCGGUAAUACGAGAGGUCCAGACGUUAUUCGGAAUCACUGGGCUUACAGAGUUCGUAGGCGGUUCUACAAGUGGGGUGUGAAAGCCCUCGGCUCAACCGAGGAACUGCGCUCCAAACUGUAGAACUAGAGGGAGAUAGAGGUGAGCGGAACUGAUGGUGGAGCGGUGAAAUGCGUUGAUAUCAUCAGGAACACCGGAGGCGAAGGCGGCUCACUGGGUCUCUUCUGACGCUGAGGAACGAAAGCUAGGGGAGCAAACGGGAUUAGAUACCCCAGUAGUCC
rnacentral:rRNA from 1 species